UGGGGGUGUUGGCUUAAUGGUGAUGGAUGUGUUGGCUUAAUGGUGAUGGAUGUGUUGGGUUAAUGGUGAUGGGGGUGUUGGCUUAAUGGUGAUGGAUGUGUUGGGUUAAUGGUGAUGGAUGUGUUGGCUUAAUGGUGAUGGAUGUGUUGGCUUAAUGGUGAUGGAUGUGUUGGCUUAAUGGUGAUGGAUGUGUUGGCUUAAUGGUGAUGGGGGUUUUGACUUAAUGGUGAUGGAUGUGUUGGCUUAAUGGUGAUGGAUGUGUUGGGUUAAUGGUGAUGGGGGUGUUGGGUUAAUGGUGAUGGAUGUGUUGGGUUAAUGGUGAUGGAUGUGUUGGCUUAAUGGUGAUGGAUGUGUUGGCUUAAUGGUGAUGGAUGUGUUGGCUUAAUGGUGAUGGAUGUGUUGGGUUAAUGGUGAUGGAUGUGUUGGGUUAAUGGUGAUGGAUGUGUUGGCUUAAUGGGGAUGGAUGUGUUGGCUUAAUGGUGAUGGAUGUGUUGGCUUAAUGGUGAUGGGUGUAUUGACUUAAUGGUGAUGGAUGUGUUGGCUUAAUGGUGAUGGAUGUGUUGGCUUAAUGGUGAUGGAUGUGUUGGCUUAAUGGUGAUGGAUGUGUUGGGUUAAUGGUGAUGGAUGUGUUGGGUUAAUGGUGAUGGGGGUAUUGACUUAAUGGUGAUGGAUGUGUUGGCUUAAUGGUGAUGGGGGUAUUGACUUAAUGGUGAUGGAUGUGUUGGCUUAAUGGUGAUGGAUGUGUUGGCUUAAUGGUGAUGGGGGUAUUGACUUAAUGGUGAUGGGCGUGUUGGCUUAAUGGUGAUGGAUGUGUUGGCUUAAUGGUGAUGGAUGUGUUGGGUUAAUGGUGAUGGAUGUGUUGGCUUAAUGGUGAUGGAUGUGUUGGGUUAAUGGUGAUGGAUGUGUUGGCUUAAUGGUGAUGGAUGUGUUGGCUUAAUGGUGAUGGAUGUGUUGGCUUAAUGGUGAUGGAUGUGUUGGCUUAAUGGUGAUGGAUGUGUUGGCUUAAUGGUGAUGGGGGUGUUGGCUUAAUGGUGAUGGAUGUGUUGGCUUAAUGGUGAUGGGGGUGUUGGCUUAAUGGUGAUGGAUGUGUUGGCUUAAUGGUGAUGGAUGUGUUGGCUUAAUGGUGAUGGAUGUGUUGGCUUAGCAAGAUGUAGGUAACAGGAGAGAGAGACACGGGGAGAGAUGGAGAGAAAAAGAGAUGAUAGAGAGAGUCACUGGAGAGAAUGUCAUGCAGUAUGUAUAUGGACCAGCCUCGUGUGUCAUGCAGUAUGUAUAUGGACCAGCCUCGUGUGUCAUGCAGUAUGUAUAUGGACCAGCCUCGUGUGUCAUGCAGUAUGUAUAUGGACCAGCCUCGUGUGUCAUGCAGUAUGUUUUCUGUCAGAUAUGUUUUGUCUUCUCAGAGCUGCCGUGACGGAGGCCGGACUCGUGUGGGACCGCGGAGAUGCCGGGUCAAGCAGGGGAGACAUCACGGAGAGUCACACCAAGAUAGAUAGGAUGCCGCGGACGGACCAUGCAGAGGACUCAUCGCGACGACACCAACGGUUUGGUUAAGUGGGUUCUUUUGUGUGUGCGUCUGUGUGUGAAUGGCAGGCCUGUCGUAUGAUUGUGUGUGUGUGUGCGUUGGCGUUAUGCCUUCGCACUAUUAUUUUGUUAGGAUGUAUUUUUGUGUGUGUGAACUUUUUGCACGUAAUCUUUUUUUAUACCCAUAGCUAGCGUUUGUUUGUGUGGCAGUGUUCCGGGAGAUGGACGCCGGGGGAUAUGGGCUUGGGGAGGCGCACAUGACCUCCUCUGUCCGUGACCUCUUCAGCUGGGGAGACCGUGUGUUGCCCCGCCUGGAGAGACACGUUGAUGGAGGUGGCCGUGUGUGUCACCCUUUGCCUGUAUCCUCUGGCGCCCAGAGGCGCGUAAGUGGAGAGCAUCGGCGCAGCGCGGGAGCAGCACGUCAGGGUGUAGGGUGUUUGUUUAGCUGGUGUAGGGUGUUAGGGUGUUAGGGUGUUAGGUGUAACAACGGUUGGCUCUUUCACAGAACGGGUGUGAUUCCGUUCUGCGUUUGAGUCUUCCACCUUCAGACGGUCUCCCUCCGAGAUGUCUGAAGUUUUUUUUGUCGGUUUUCUCCGUAGGAGGAAGCCGACUCUAGCUACUCUGGCCUCUCUUCCGGGGGUCAGAGCGGUCGGGCUCUGCUUGGCCAGGCGUUGCCUUUCGCGUUGUCUCCGCCGACGUUUUGCCAGACUCUUCCGUAAGGUUGAGCCUGGCUUUUUUAUUAGGUGGAUCAGGCUGCCUUCUUCCAAGGAGUCUGAUGGGAGUGGAGUCUUUUUUUUGGUGUAUGUCUGUGGGUACUUAGUGGGUAAGGGAGGGUGGGGUAGAAUGGUUGGUGGGCUGGAAGUGGGUUGGGGGAUGAGUCUCCUGGGAUUUGGGUUGUGUCGAGCCUUACCGCCUGGUGUGUUGGGUAACCUUCACGCCAGGGGGGGGGUGCCAAGACCAUAUCCAUCUCCUGGGCAGGGCGAUUCCCCUUUCCCAUGCUGGCCCUCCUCCGUCUGCCUCCCCAAACCCCCGCUGAGUGCUUGUGUGUGUUAUUUUAUUUAGGAUGUCUUUUUUUUCUAUGCCUUUUUCCCGUGUGUUUAUACCCAAUAGCUAGCGUGUGUGUGUGUGUGGCAGUCCGGAGGCGCGUGCAGCGAGGACAUCACAUCACGUCACUACGGUAUAUCCACGGUAUUUGGUUUAGUGUGUGCUGUGUGUGUUUGUGUGUGUGAUGGCAGGCCUGCCGUGUGUUUGACCUUUUGCUGUGUGUUGCUGUGUGACUGCUAGGAUUUCAUUUCUAUGUAUGUUUUUUUCCCCAUAACCCCCUUCCUCCCUAGCUCUUUAGCUGUUGUCUCUGGCGAGGCGCUGGGUGGAUGCUGCCGGGCGACCAACGGCGGUGGCGGUGUGCAACGCGGGAGCUGCUGAGGUUUGGGGUAGCACUACGGUGCAGGUUAUGUAGGGUGUGUGAGUUUUUUUUUUGUGUGAGUGUCUUUUUUUUGUGUGGGGUGUUGGCGGGGGACUUAGCUAAUCACUGUGUCAGGAAGGCAUGGGCGUGGCCGUCUGUCCAUCAGGCCGACGGGCGGGUGUGCCACCUGGCAGUCAGGCUAGCAGGUGACAGGCAAGCUAUCUGGUGGUUAGGCUGUCAGUCGGGCCAUCAGAUAGGUAGGCAGGCCACCUUGCGGUCAGGUUGUCGGGCGGGCACCCCACCCUCGGUCAGGUAGGCAGGCAGCAGCGUCUACGCUGAGCCGUACGGCUACACGUACGAACGCACGGAACCCGUACGCUACGUUCCGCUGCACUGACGCUCGUCGUACCUCUGCUCGCACGCUUGCGGGCGGGUUGGGGGCGGGGGGCGGAUGGGCGGACGGGCGGGCGUACGUGGGAACGGGCGGGCGGACGGGUGGUCGGGCGGUUAGGGAGUCGGAGCAACGCUUGAAAGACGCGCAGAUAGAUGUCAGAUUCUCCCGUAGGGAGGUCUGGCAAGGUGAUAGUUUAGGCGGCGGAGUUGUACGCGGGCCAGUCUGUGUUACAGCUUUGCCGUCAGGGUAGCUCCUUCCGAGCUGCCCAAACUGAGGACCAGUUUUCCUCACAGGAGGAGGCUGGUGGGGCCUAGGGUGUUAGGGGUACAACGGUUGGCUCUUUCACAGAACGGGUGUGUUCCGUUCUGCGUUUGAGUCUGCCGCCUUUGGGCGUCUCCCUCUGAGAUGUCGGUUAGGAUUUCUUUUUUUUAUAUGUCCGUGUGUGUAACUGUUGCCUUUUAGCCUGUUGUGUUCCUGAGCAGCAAGAAGAGGCGGCUGUGGUGACCCGCCCGAUGCGGAAGGCUUCUGGGCCCUGUCGGCGGGGGCGCACCUCUCUGGCUGACUGGUUGACCAGGCUUUGACCAGGUGGCCAGGGAGGCGCAUCCUCGCUGGGCGGGGUCUGGGGGCCCUCCGUCUUGGGGAGGUCGCUGCAGCAGGAGGAGGUAACUACUGCUGGUUUUGUAAGGCAUUGUGGUUGAGAGCACCUUGCAGCUGUAACGCGAAUUUCGUUCCGUAAUAAACAAUGUACCGCCA